rnacentral:lncRNA from 1 species
CUCGGCGCCUCUCCUCUCACUCAUGUGCUCACCAGGUCUUCAACCUCACACCGUCCUGCACACCUGGGCAACACAGUCCGAUGCGGUCUCGAGGCCCAGAGACCCAGGCCCUGACGGCGUCUCCUGGGCCUGACAAGCAGCUGCUCAGCUGGGAGGGGAUGGCUUGAGGGUUUCUGAAGCAGCCACACAGGAAAUAAUGAGAGGCCAUUGUCUCGGGAGGGUGCUCCCGGAUCUCCACGGCUGGAGGAACAGGCGACAGACGUGAAAGCCACAGAAGACCCCGAAGGAAGCAGGGUCUCCUGAGCGAAGCCUCCACCGCCGCAUCCGUGUCCAGGAUGGAGGAACCACAGGCCCUGCUCACGCUGCUGUGAUGAAAUACACGGGACAGACUUCUCAGGGUUCCAGAGGCUGAGCAGUUGCAGAGGAAGCUGCAGGCUGUUCCUGAUUCCCCGUCUGGCUAGCGCCUGGUCUCUGCUUCUUCACGGCACCUUCCCAGGGCUGAGGGGGUGGGGGUGGAAGGGAGGAACCUGUGUCUCACCCCAUCCACACUGUGGCAGCCCCUCUCCGGGUCCGCCCUUAGCCCUUCCUUCCUCCACCUGGGGCUUGUGUGGGAAGGGACUGCCACGGUGACCCUCCCUGACCCCACGACCGCAUCACUGCCCCACACUUCCCUGUGCACAGCUGGCCCCCACUCGAUGCUGACAGAAUAGCUUUCUCAUCCUGGGAGUUAAGAUUGUCACGUGUUCUCAGAGCGUCUGACUAAAUUCUGCAAUCUCCUGACAUCCACUUUGACCUCAAAGAUUAUUCUGAAGACAUCAUCCCAAAUGCUUCACCUAUGUGCACAUAGGGAAGUAAUUUAAAUAGUAUGUUUUUUGACACUAUCCAUCUUAUAUCUUAUUUCUGGGCCCCA